AUUGAACGCUGGCGGUAGGCCUAACACAUGCAAGUCGAGCGGCAGCACAGUAAUAGCUUGCUCUUACGGGUGGCGAGUGGCGAGCGAGUGCGAAAAACAUCGCUAUCUACUGUUUAGUGGGGGAUAACGUGGGGGCACAUACGCUAAUACCGCAUACGACCUACGGGUGAAAUCAUCGGAUCUUCGGCCCUUGCGCGAGUCAAUGAGCCGAUGUCGGAUUAGCUAGUUGGCGGGGUAAAGGCCCACCAAGGCGACGAUCCGUAGCUGGUCUGAGAGGAUGAUCAGCCACACUGGAACUGAGACACGGUCCAGACUCCUACGGGAGGCAGCAGUGGGGAAUAUUGGACAAUGGGCGCAAGCCUGAUCCAGCCAUACCGCGUGUGUGAAGAAGGCCUUCGGGUUGUAAAGCACUUUUGUUGGGGAAGAAAAGCAGCAGGUUAAUACCCCGCUGUUCUGACGGUACCAAAAGAAUAAGCACCGGCUAACUUCGUG
rnacentral:rRNA from 1 species